CUUCAAACCAAGUUUAUUGACAUCAACAAUGAUCCCUCUAGAACGCGGCUAGACCGAUAAGAUAACAGUAGCCACAUAUACGAUUAUGCACGUGGCGGGAAGGUCUUUGUACACCUCACCUUCCCUAAAAAUUCUAUUUGUGAAAUUACACUGAAUAUGUUGGUAUACAAAAGGGGUUUAUUUUAUUUUUUUUGGGGGGGAGGGG
rnacentral:misc_RNA from 1 species